UUCCAGACUCCUACGGGAGGCAGCAGUGGGGAAUAUUGCACAAUGGGGGAAACCCUGAUGCAGCGACGCCGCGUGAGCGAUGAAGUAUUUCGGUAUGUAAAGCUCUCUCAGCAGGGAAGAAAAUGACGGUACCUGACUAAGAAGCCCCGGCUAACUACGUGCCAGCAGCCGCGGUAAUACGUAGGGGGCAAGCGUUAUCCGGAUUUACUGGGUGUAAAGGGAGCGUAGACGGCGGUGCAAGCCAGAUGUGAAAGCCCGGGGCUCAACCCCGGGACUGCAUUUGGAACUGCGUGGCUGGAGUGCAGGAGGGGCAGGCGGAAUUCCUGGUGUAGCGGUGAAAUGCGUAGAUAUCAGGAGGAACACCGGUGGCGAAGGCGGCCUGCUGGACUGCAACUGACGUUGAGGCCCGAAAGCGUGGGGAGCAAACAGGAUUAGAUACCCUCGUAAG
rnacentral:rRNA from 1 species